AGCCACGUUUUCCCCCUUUAAGCCCUUAGAGCCUCAAGCAUGAGACCCUCCAUUGAAAGCUUGACCUCGGAGAAAGACAGUGUAGGGAAUUUGGAGCCUUUGGUACAUGUAAGUAGAUUCAUUUUCCAUGCUUCUAUGCUUUGUGAUACAUUUUUUGGUUAGUUCAUUCAAGUAUGAAAUUCAAGAAAAAUUAUGUGUUUGUGAUUAUAAAUAUGAGCAUGAAUCUACAAAUAUGAACUAGUGAAUGGUUAUAAGAUAAUGAAUGCUUAUGAACUAGUGAAUGUUUAUGAGAUGAUGAAUGCUUAUGUAACACUAAGUGAGCAUGGUUGUUAUCAGAUAAGCCAUUGUUUAUGAAAUGAUGAAUGCUUAUGAACUAGUGAAUGUUUAUGAAAGGAUGAAUACUUAUAUAAGGUUGAAUGAGCAAGGUUGUGAUAAGUUCCAUGUGAUAAGAGCUAAGUGAUAUGUAAUUCAUUGGUAUACUUUGAGCAUAUUGCAUGACCGUAUUGUGCUCUGAUAAGAAUGCAUAAAAUUGAAAUAUGCUCUGAUGCUCUGUUAUGAAAUAAACACCUGCUCUGUUAUAAAAGGAACACUGGUUCUGUUAUAAAAUGAAUAUGUGACUUGUUAUGAACUGAAAGCCCUCUAUGAUAUGAUAAAAGUGUGCUAUGAUAAGUAAUGUGAUAUGAACCACUAUGCAAUGGAUCAUCCAUUGAUAGUGUGAUGUGCUUUGAUAUGAUAAGUAAUGUGAUAUGAAGCACUAUGCAAUGGGUCAUCCAUUGAUAGUGUGAUGUACUUUGAUAUGAUAAGUAAUGUGAUAUGAAGUACUAUGCAAUGGGUUAUCCAUUGAUAGUAUCACGUGCUUUGAUAUGAUAAGUAAAUGUGAUAUGAAGCACUAUGCAAUGGGUCAUCCCUUGAUAGUGUGAUAUGCUUUGAGAUGAUAGUAAUGUGAUACGAAGCACUAUGCAAUGGAUCAUCCAUUAGUAGUAUGAUGUGAUAUGAUAUGAUUGUGAUAAGUGCUAUGUGAUAAGAUCCGUGUGGUCAACUAUAUGAUCCCUUGGCAUGCUUUGCUCAACCAUGAUAUGAGUGCAUGAUUAUGUGAUGUGUGAGCAUGGACUUGCCUCAUGAUGUGAAGAGAAUGUGAUAUGUGAGCAUGGACUUGCCGCACGAUGAGAUGAGAAUGUAAUGUGUGAGCAUGGACUUCCUGCACGAUGAGAUGAGAAUGUGAUGUCUGAGCUUGGACUUGCCGCACGAUGAGAUGUGAAUGUGACAUGUGAGCAUGGACUUGCCGCACGAUGAUAUACAAUAUGUGACCAUGGACUUGCCACAUGAUCUUUCCCUGAUUCCCGAUGAUAGGAAGGGAGCUAGGAUGUGAUAUGGAUUUGGGAGGGUCGCCCCCUCCAAAGAUAUAUAUGGGUACUAUCCAUUGGGAUCCCUUUGGUAGUGUAGCGUCCUCUAGCGGAGAUGCAAAGAGAGGGCAGUAUCUUCCCAAGCCAAGAGCCUAUCAAAAGCCCCAAAGCGUGCUGGGGACUGUGUGCGUAUGUGAGAAGACAUUACAAAUACAAUUACUCAUUGUCAUUGUCUUUCCUCCUGAGUGAUGGUAGAAGUCCUAAGCAAUAGAAUUCGCUUGGCCUGAUGAAUAAGAUCUUUGCUUCAAGAAUAGGCAAAUUAGGGAGUGAGUUAGUUGUAAUGGUUGUUAUUCACCUUAAUAUGUUAAUUGCCAAGUUUUGUAUGGUUGAACGAUUUGAUUGACCCUUGCAUCAUAUCAUAUAUGAUUGAUCUGAUUUGUUAAUGUUUCACUAUGAAUCAUGCACGGCACACUAAUAAAUAUGAUUAUGGUACAUGACUUAUGUUUUAUAAAUACGGUAUAGAACCUUGUACAUUGUUGUAAAAUGAUAUUCAUAAACUGGAAAGCAUGAUAUCAUGAUCUACUUACUGCGCUUUAUAGAUCAUUCCAUUUACUUUCAUCUAUGUAGAGUAAUAGCUCGCAGGUCAAGGACAGAUGGCUGGGUGAUCGCGACUAGCUACUGAAGACCUGCACUUGAUGAGGAAAUUGUUUUGAUUGUAUGUUUUGGAUGGCGGUAGCCAUAUAGUUCAUGUUUAUUUGAAAGUCAUCUGAAUGUAUUGUUGUAGGGCCUUUAGUGUCAUGGACACAAUUGUAAUACUUGGAGCUUUUGUAUAUAGUUCGGUUUCAAUUGGUUCAGAUUUUGCUAUGAAUGUGAUUGGAGUGUUGUUUUAUUUUCGUGGUUUGCUUUGAUUACCUCUUUUCUAAGGCGCUGAGCGCGCACC
rnacentral:lncRNA from 1 species